UUUGUUAUCGGGUAAAAUUUUUGUUUCGCAAUAUGUCGCUAAGAUAUUUCUUAUAUAGUAUCAUACAUUUAUGCGCUUUUUAUUUUCACCCAUUCUAAGCCGAACAAUUUUCUUUGUAAGAGUUAUCUCCCUAUUCACUGUUUAUCAAGUGUGUGCAUCUCCUUCGUAACAAAAA